rnacentral:pre_miRNA from 1 species
CGUGCAACAGUGGGGUCCCUUGGCCUGGCCUGCGAAAUUGGGCUGAAACCAGCUUUCCAACAUCUCCCAAGGGGUCCUGGAUUGCGAGAGGGUGCAGGCCAGGCCAAGGGACUCCACCAGUGCAUG